GCGGCGCGGCGGCGCAGGGCUCUAAAGUGUACAUAAAUAAUACAGUUGAUUGAUAGCAGACUGAUUCUCAUAUUUUUAAAUUUUCAACAAUUGUGUACUCAAUGGGAUGUAAUUUGUGUUUUAUUGUGCCGUGAUAAACUGCUUCUUGAGUGACUUUCCUUUUUGAAUUUAUUUUCAAAAGAAAAAAAAAGUGAUACUUGAACUUUUAAGCACUUAUUUACACUUCCUAAUGUGAAUAUUAAAUAAAGUUGGUUGGUUCCAGUUGUUCAUUUCAUUUACCUGUAACCUGUGUAUAUUGUACUGCUGUGCAUAAUAAAUAAUACAGCAGUUGAUUGAUAGCAGACUGAUUAUCAUUUUGAACUUUUUCAACAAUCUUUGAAUUUCUUAGAUUCAAGCACUCAGCACUGAUUAUUAUCAACAGCAGGCUACAGAUUUUGUAUUGAUCUGUCAGGUCUAUUCUACAGAAGGUCGUGUGGGUCGUGUGAAUACAUAAUAUUUGCACGUAAAAAUUUUUUCGAGUGGCCGUGUUUUUAAACACGUAAAUUAUUUUCUUGAAUAAAUGGUCGUGUAGAUUUUUUUGCACGUAAAACUCUACUGGUCGUGCAUUGCACGUUAAAACAUUUUUCAUAUCUUUUGAAUUAAAUUCAGCGUACAUUGGUCGUGUAUUAUCAUACACGUAAAAUAGAAUUUGAUUUAUUUAUUACAGUUUUGGUAAUACGUUUAGUCAUUUGAAUAAAUAAAUUUGAAGUGAA